rnacentral:rRNA from 1 species
UACAGAGGUCUCAAGCGUUGUUCGGAUUCAUUGGGCGUAAAGGGUGCGUAGGUGGCGCGCUAAGUCGGGUGUGAAAUUUCGGAGCUUAACUCCGAAACUGCAUUCGAUACUGGCGUGCUUGAGGACUGGAGAGGAGAGUGGAAUUCAUGGUGUAGCAGUGAAAUGCGUAGAGAUCAUGAGGAAGACCAGUGGCGAAGGCGGGUCUCUGGACAGUUCCUGACGCUGAGACACGAAGGCCAGGGGAGCAAACGGG